GCGCAAUGGGGGAAACCCUGACGCAGCAACGCCGCGUGAGUGAUGAAGGCUUUCGGGUCGUAAAGCUCUGUCUAGAGGGAAGAAGUGAUAUUUGGCUAAUACCCAGAUUUCUUGACGGUACCUCUGAAGGAAGCACCGGCUAACUCCGUGCCAGCAGCCGCGGUAAUACGGAGGGUGCAAGCGUUGUUCGGAAUUAUUGGGCGUAAAGCGCGUGUAGGCGGUUUGUUAAGUCUGAUGUGAAAGCCCUGGGCUCAACCUGGGAAGUGCAUUGGAAACUGGCGGACUUGAAUACGGGAGAGGGUAGUGGAAUUCCGAGUGUAGGAGUGAAAUCCGUAGAUAUUCGGAGGAACACCGGUGGCGAAGGCGGCUACCUGGACCGAUAUUGACGCUGAGACGCGAAAGCGUGGGUAGCAAACAGGAUUAGAUACCCUGGUAGUCCACGCCGUAAACGAUGAGUACUAGGUGUUGCGGGUAUUGACCCCUGCAGUGCC
rnacentral:rRNA from 1 species